rnacentral:tRNA from 1 species
GGCUUUAUAGUAUAAAAAUUAUAUUAGAUUGCAAAUCUAAAGAUGUGCUGAUCACUAAAGCUU